rnacentral:ncRNA from 1 species
ACUGACUUGUGGCAGCCAAGUGUUCAUAGCGACGUUGCUUUUUGAUCCUUUGAUGUCAGCUCUUCCUAUCAUACCGAAGCAGAAUUCGGUGAGCGUUGGAUUGUUCUGCUUCCUCUGUUCUUCGCAUUGCCACUCAGUUCUAUCAGCGUCGGCGGCACCAUAGUAUGUAAGUACGCUCUUCCGCCGAUGACACCGUGUAUCAGGAAAGUGCGCACGC